UGGUGCUGUCAUUCAGCCUGAGGAAGAGAGUCCAAAUGUUAUUAUUGAUGGUAUAGGUCUCACUCUGCUGGUAUUGAUGGAUGGUAUAGGUCUCACUCUGCUGGUAUUGAUGGAUGGUAUAGGUCUCACUCUCUGCUGGUAUUGAUGGCUGGUAUAGGUCUCACACUCUGCUGGUAUUGAUGGAUGGUAUAGGUCUCACUCUGCUGGUAUUGAUGGAUGGUAUAGGUCUCACUCUGCUGGUAUUGAUGGAUGGUAUAGGUCUCACACUCUGCUGGUAUUGAUGGCUGGUAUAGGUCUCACUCUGCUGGUAUUGAUGGUUGGUAUAGGUCUCACUCUGCUGGUAUUGAUGGAUGGUAUAGGUCUCACACUCUGCUGGUAUUGAUGGAUGGUAUAGGUCUCACUCUGCUGGUAUUGAUGGAUGGUAUAGGUCUCUUCUUCUUCUUCUUUGGUCUCCUCUGUCCCUG
rnacentral:lncRNA from 1 species